rnacentral:rRNA from 1 species
GCAUCACCCAUUGGGAUGGAUAUGUACCCGAUCAACAACGGUUUCAUUUGGGAUACCUUUGGGACCCGUCUUGAAACACGGACCAAGGAGUCUAUCUAGUAUGCGAGUAAAUGGGCCAUUAUUUUGUAUGAAACCUAUUUGCGUAAAUAACUUGACUGUUUUAAUGGGAUUACGUGUACAUUUACUUUUUGUGUGUGCACUUCCAUCCCGGGGUAUUUUCAUCACAUAUAUGGGCAACUAUAUAUAGAAAAUAUACCAUGAGCAUACUGGACAUGACCCGAAAGAUGGUGAACUAUGCCUGAUCAGGUUGAAGUCAGGGGAAACCCUGAUGGAGGACCGAAGCAAUUCUGACGUGCAAAUCGAUUGUCAGAAUUGGGCA